GCCGCGAAUUCGCCCUUCGGAGAGGGCGCAUGAGACCCUUUUACCACAUCCAAGGAAGGCAGCAGGCGCGCAAAUUACCUUAUCCCAACACGGGGAGGUAGUGACGAUAUGUAACAAUAUACGGCCUUAUACGUCGUAUAAUUGGAAUGAGUACAAUUUAAAUCCCUUAACGAGGAACAAUUGGAGGGCAAGUCUGGUGCCAGCAGCCGCGGUAAUUCCAGCUCCAAUAGCGUAUAUUAAAGUUGUUGCAGUUAAAAAGCUCGUAGUUGGACCUUGGACCUGGACAGGCGGUCCGCCUCACGGCGAGUACUGUCUUGCUGGGUCUUUCCUCUUGGUGAUCUGUUGUUUCGGCAGCAGGGAACCACGACCUUUACUUUGAAAAAAUUAGAGUGUUCAAAGCAGGCUCGACGCCGGAAUAUAUUAGCAUGGAAUAAUAAAAUAGGACGUGCGGUUCUAUUUUGUUGGUUUUUGGAAUCGCCGCACUGAUUAAUAUGGACAGUCGGGGGCAUUAGUACUCACAUGCUAAAGGUGAAAUUCUUGGAUUUUGUGAAGACUAACUUCUGCGAAAGCAUUUGCCAAGGAUGUUUUCAUUAUUCAUUAACGAAUGUUACGGCAUUCGAAAACGAUUAAAUACCGCUGUAAUCUUAACCGUAAAUUAUGCCGACAAGGGAUCGGUCGAUGAUAUCUUUUCGACUCGAUUGGCACCUUACGAGAAAU
rnacentral:rRNA from 1 species